rnacentral:rRNA from 1 species
GGGCGUCCCUUCUGGGACGCCACCGGCGGACGGCUCAGUAACACGUCGGUAACCUACCCUCGGGAGGGGGAUAACCCCGGGAAACUGGGGCUAAUCCCCCAUAGGCCUGGGGUACUGGAAGGUCCCCAGGCCGAAAGGGGACCGUAAGGUCCCGCCCGAGGAUGGGCCGGCGGCCGAUUAGGUAGUUGGUGGGGUAACGGCCCACCAAGCCGAAGAUCGGUACGGGCCGUGAGAGCGGGAGCCCGGAGAUGGACACUGAGACACGGGUCCAGGCCCUACGGGGCGCAGCAGGCGCGAAACCUCCGCAAUGCGGGAAACCGCGACGGGGGGACCCCCAGUGCCGUGCCUCUGGCACGGCUUUUCCGGAGUGUAAAAAGCUCCGGGAAUAAGGGCUGGGCAAGGCCGGUGGCAGCCGCCGCGGUAAUACCGGCGGCCCGAGUGGUGGCCACUAUUAUUGGGCCUAAAGCGGCCGUAGCCGGGCCCGUAAGUCCCUGGCGAAAUCCCACGGCUCAACCGUGGGGCUCGCUGGGGAUACUGCGGGCCUUGGGACCGGGAGAGGCCGGGGGUACCCCCGGGGUAGGGGUGAAAUCCUAUAAUCCCGGGGGGACCGCCAGUGGCGAAGGCGCCCGGCUGGAACGGGUCCGACGGUGAGGGCCGAAGGCCAGGGGAGCGAACCGGAUUAGAUACCCGGGUAGUCCUGGCUGUAAAGGAUGCGGGCUAGGUGUCGGGCGAGCUUCGAGCUCGCCCGGUGCCGUAGGGAAGCCGUUAAGCCCGCCGCCUGGGGAGUACGGCCGCAAGGCUGAAACUUAAAGGAAUUGGCGGGGGAGCACUACAAGGGGUGGAGCGUGCGGUUUAAUUGGAUUCAACGCCGGGAACCUCACCGGGGGCGACGGCAGGAUGAAGGCCAGGCUGAAGGUCUUGCCGGACGCGCCGAGAGGAGGUGCAUGGCCGCCGUCAGCUCGUACCGUGAGGCGUCCACUUAAGUGUGGUAACGAGCGAGACCCGCGCCCCCAGUUGCCAGUCCCUCCCGCUCGGGAGGGAGGCACUCUGGGGGGACUGCCGGCGAUAAGCCGGAGGAAGGGGCGGGCGACGGUAGGUCAGUAUGCCCCGAAACCCCCGGGCUACACGCGCGCUACAAUGGGCGGGACAAUGGGACCCGACCCCGAAAGGGGAAGGGAAUCCCCUAAACCCGCCCUCAGUUCGGAUCGCGGGCUGCAACUCGCCCGCGUGAAGCUGGAAUCCCUAGUACCCGCGCGUCAUCAUCGCGCGGCGAAUACGUCCCUGCUCCUUGCACACACCGCCCGUCACUCCACCCGAGCGGGGCCCGGGUGAGGCCCGAUCUCCUUCGGGAGGUCGGGUCGAGCCUGGGCUCCGUGAGGGGGGAGAAGUCGUAACAAGGUAGCC